rnacentral:rRNA from 1 species
GACGAACGCUGGCGGCGUGCUUAACACAUGCAAGUCGAACGGAAAGGCCCUGCUUUUGUGGGGUGCUCGAGUGGCGAACGGGUGAGUAACACGUGAGUAACCUGCCCUUGACUUUGGGAUAACUUCAGGAAACUGGGGCUAAUACCGGAUAGGAGCUCCUGCUGCAUGGUGAGGGUUGGAAAGUUUCGGCGGUUGGGGAUGGACUCGCGGCUUAUCAGCUUGUUGGUGGGGUAGUGGCUUACCAAGGCUUUGACGGGUAGCCGGCCUGAGAGGGUGACCGGCCACAUUGGGACUGAGAUACGGCCCAGACUCCUACGGGAGGCAGCAGUGGGGAAUAUUGCACAAUGGGCGGACGCCUGAUGCAGCAACGCCGCGUGCGGGAUGACGGCCUUCGGGUUGUAAACCGCUUUCGCCUGUGACGAAGCGUGAGUGACGGUAAUGGGUAAAGAAGCACCGGCUAACUACGUG